AGCGGGGUGGAGCAGAGGUAGCUCGCCGGGCUCAUAACCCGGAGGUCGUUGGUUCGAAUCCGACCCCCGCCACCA
rnacentral:tRNA from 1 species